GGAAGUGAGAGAGAAGGCGAAGGUUGUGCGUUUCGUCUCAGAGUCGCUGCCUAGACUCAUCAGUGGGGUUGAUGGCAGCGACUCCUUACCCCAGAAGCUUGUUGUUGUAACUAUUCGCUAGGCUGGAUUGGUCACCCAUCCCAGCGGUUCCGCACCUUGUGUUUGGCUUAACAUCGAAUAUCGAUUGACUUCGACGCUAGGCGCACAGCCACUUGCGGCUUGUGAAAGUUGGUGUUCGAAACUCGUACUCGAGGAAUUAUAGGUCGCUACACCUGCGAAGAUAAUCGCGACAUCUAUUGAUUGCUGAUCGUGUGAUGUGUGUGUUAUGCGAUAAUAUGACUGAGCGUGGUACUAUCUGUCUGGCGCCUUCGUUUGUUUUUUAGAACUUCGAUUGUUGUAUGGUAUGCAGAGAACGGCCAAGAGAGUGCAAGUAAAGAAGAUCAGUGACUGAUAUCUUCGAUAUCUACAUUAUCCCAUAAUUAAUUUACAACAAUCAGGAAUAUCGAUUACGUUCGA